GGAUAAGAACAUGCUUGCUUACAUAUAGGCUACAUCAUUCCAUGCGCCCGUCUUAUGUAAAAUGGAAUACAAAGAACCCUGGAACAGCAUGCGUCAGUCCGCUUAAUCAGUAUUUGGGCGACACCUGGUGGAGAGACAGUGCUAUUUUGUUUUGGUCUCACGCUCUACUCUAAAAUAAGUGGAACCUAUUAGCUCGUGCUACAGAGAUCUCAAACUCAAAAAUACAGUAGUUAGUGUGUUUCAGUACUUUACUGUUUAAUCAGUGUUGGGCAGUAGCGUCGCUAUAAGUAGCGGCGUUACUAGUUUAACUAAAUUUCUCAGUAGCGUGGUGGUAGAGUCGCUGUUUUCUGAAUCAAAUAGCUUUUCAGUAGCGAAGCUCUUUUAUUGACAAAGUAGUGCGGUAGCGUCCACCAUACAUAGACGCCGCACUGGCCGCUUCGGCCCCUUGCUGCGAUACGUCAACGUGGCCGCCAUAUUGGUCCAGGCAAGACUAGCCUGAAAACAAAUAGAAGUAAACGGGGAGCUGCGGUUUUUCUGGAUAAAAAGCACUAUAACGUUUACAUUUCUCAACCGAUUUCCAUCAGUCGUUUUUAUAUUCAAGGGUUUAUGAUCUACGUGGAGUACAAAAUUUGUUUUAUCUCCAGUUACUUAGAAUCUCGACAGUUAGGCUAUAAUCGCUGCUAGACGCUCAAGAGAGGUGUGUAUCAACGUUAGGUUUACAUGAACUGAAUUACUUACGUGGUGGAAAAUAAUUCAUUGUCAUAAGGAAUUGCCACAGUUAAUUUUAACCUGUCAAGCUGGCUAGAAAGUAAUAAAUGCAUUGCUAGCUAACUUGAGUAGGACUGUAAGCAUCAAAUAACCUUGAUUGUAAGGCUAGCUUUGCUUGUUAGCUACCUACCAAUGUUUUCUUGCAAGUCGUGUUUUGAUUUUGAACGAAUUAAACUGAACACAACCACAAUAAUUUUAACCUGGCAAGCUGGCUAGAAAGUAAUGAAUGUAUUAUUAAUUUUAGCUGAAACGCUUUUCAUUUGAACAAGCUUGAUUUCUUGCUAUUUGCUUGCUGUGUAUGUAUAUGUCUAUGUUUAUAUCAACAUAGGGAGCAGGCCGCCAUGUUGCGCCGCCAAUGUUUCUACAGUAAGCCCAGAAAGGACAAACGGCUUUAGACAGGGCUUUCGCGUUUUUUUUUUUUUUUCCUCCGUUUUUAAUUUUGGUGGGUUGCGCGAAUGCACCAGUUGGAAGACGAAGAAGAAGAAGAGACUGAGUGGUCAUACAUUGUCUUGGACAAUCCGUUUGUGAAAUAUACGUGCAUUUGUGAUGCCUGGGUACCUUCCAAAAUAGCUGUGCAUAAUACCACACGUGUUGUUUACGCCGUUGUCGACCUUUUUAGUAGUCUGGUUUGAUUACCAAUCCAUUUAUUCAGCAGGUGAGAGUAUAAGCUUUCUAACGGUGUAUAGCAUGUCUAAUUUUGCUUUUGGAAUAGCGUUUUAUUGGUCAGCGUAAUCGAAAGUUUUGUUGUCAUCGCAUUCAUUUACGCAUUCACUCUGUGGUAGCAGAAAAGACGCUGAACCUAACGAAACGUUGUCAACGAUUUUUCGUAAUUUCUUGGAAAAUACUAUUAUUAUUGAGGGUAUUCAGUUGGCUGCAAUCUGCAACCUCACCGCUAGAUGCCACUAAAUCCUACACACUGCACAUUUAAUAUUUAUAAUGUGCAUUCAAAUAGUUUUUAAAAGUGCUACUUUAUAAAAUUUGUACUAAAAUAGUUUUGAAAAAGUUAUUUUUGGAAUUGUUGGUCAAAUAUUUUUCAUUUUUAAUAAUACUUUUCACAAUGAAUGUUUUAAAACCCUAUUUAUCUCAUGUCUGUCUAGCAUAGCAGGUACUGUAACGUACUCUAGAGCUAUGUAUGUAGGAGGGAUCCAAGGGUCUCUGCAAUUAAAUUAAGCCUCAAGCUCAAGAAAGAUAGACAAAAGAAUAUAGACAAAGGAACUGACAUUCCAGUAAAAAAAGAUCCCUUUACGGCUAGUGUGAAAAAGUGAGAUAACCUACUUUCUUUUAUUUCUUUUUUAUUCUUUCUUUUUUUACAGUACAGGCCCUUCUCUAAGACGUGUUAAUCUAUUUCCCUUCUUAAAACCCUGAAAGCCAAAUUGCUCACAGAUGCUAAAUGGAUUUCUUUGGACUGUCUUGCCUACCCUUGCCCCACUCAGUGUAUGCUGCUCAGGGCUCAGAGGUUUGUCUACGGCAGGCGAAAAGGCUGAAAUGCUGCGUUGCCACUGGCUCUGUUCAAAGCAUCUCACACCCUUUGCGCCAAAGCAGGACAAGUUCUUCGGGCUGGACAUUUUGGGUCCUUAGCUCGGCGAGUGACGAAAACAUAAGUUGUUGCGUAACCAUACGCCCACGCCUAUUCUAUACUUCAUGGAAACGUGACACCUAAAACAGCGUUCUUCUCAACGGUAAGCUUUCUGUAACAUUUACCUUUGCGUUAUAACAUGCAUCUGCACAUUUUACAGAGCCUUACAGCAGUUGUGUCCUGUCACAAUGAAAUGCUACAGCGGUUUCUAAAGAUUUUUACCUCACUUCACUAUAUUCCCGCCUGUACCUUUGGUUCGCUUUCUUUGGGAAUCGUUGCCUAGUCUGCUCAUUCUUACCUGUGUUUUGCUAGUUCUUCUUUGUUUUUGUUUUUUUGUUUUUUGUUUUUGUCGAUACACAGUUCUCUUUCAUAACCACG